rnacentral:rRNA from 1 species
GACGAACGCUGGCGGCGUGCUUAACACAUGCAAGUCGAACGGAAAGGCCCUGCUUGCAGGGUACUCUAGUGGCGAACGGGUGUGUAAAACGUGCGUGCUCUGCCCUGCACUUCGUAUAAGCCUGGGAAACUGCGUCUCAUAUCGUAUAGGAGCCAUCAUUAGUGAGAUGGUUGGACAGGUUUUUCUGUGUAGGAUGAGCUCGCGGCCUAUCAUCUUGGUGGUGGGGUAAUGGCCUACCAAGGCUGCGACGGGUAGCCUGCCUGGGAGGGUGGACGGCCCAAUGUGGACUGGAGGAAGGCCCAGAAGCCUACGGGAGGAAGCAGUGGGGAAUAUUGCACAAUGGGCGGAAGCCUGAUGCAGCGAAGCCGCGUGGGGGAUGACGGCCUUCGGGUUGUAAACUCCUUUCGCUAGGGACGAAGCGUUUUGUGACGGUACCUAGAUAAGAAGCACCGGCUAACUACGUG